rnacentral:lncRNA from 1 species
UAACGCCCCAAAGUAGAGACCAGUAAGAUAAUUCUUUGUCCCUUUCUUCAACGUUCCUCUCGUCUUUUCGUACCAGCAGCUGCAAAUCCGUCCUUGUGGCCUUGAGAUGGGGCCACAUCGUUCGCCAAGGACGCUCGAGUCAAUCCAAGCCUUUGGUUUCCUUUCCUCUUCCGGAAUGGAGCCGAAUCGUCAGGAAACGGUGUCUCCCUCAAUUUGUGAAAGAGAUUUGGACUUUGAAAUUCGAAUUUGGACCCAUCCUCACUCAAUUUCCCCCAAUAAUCGAACCCUAAUAACCCCUAUGUAUAUUCUCUUUCGCUUCAUUGUAAAAGGGGGAAAUUUUUUUCGCUGACAGAAAACUUUGCUUGGUGAAUAGUUGAAAUUUGAGAGGAAAAUAUAGUAAACUAUCAGCUGCAAUUAUUUGAGGAUAAGUUCUCAGAAGCAAAAAAAAAAAAAAAAAGUGAGAGUUUAGGCCUUGUUUGAGUGCCUUGCUUGUUUCUUCGUUCACCGGGGUUUUCUUUGAGUCGUCGGAAGUUGGCGCUUUCAAAGCUGGUUAGAUAUCCCUGUUUUGCUCGUUUGACUAUCGACUGUGAGGUGUUCCAUUGGAAUAAAUAUGCAGCAUGUUUUCUGUUAAUACAUUUGAGUUGAAUUAUCUAUAUGUUCCCUGAGCAUGGCUCACACCACCGUAUCCGAGUCGUCCAUCCCGUUAUAACUGGUGUACAGAUCAAAAUCAGCAAAUUUGUUGCUGGGAAUUAAUUUGCAGGUCCCCGAAAAGCCGAAAAACAGGUCGAUAUACAUCCCGUAUACACUGGUAUACAAUGUGAAUAUACAAUAUGCAGUUGGAAAACGUUUCCAGGAAGUUAAAAACGCAAAAAUACAAAGUUUUGGUUUAAAUUUCAGGUUCAGGAGCGCAAAACUCGUCAAUAUACACAGCUUAUGCAUAGAAUAUACACUCAAAAAUGUAUCAUGACUUUGGAAAGAAAAUAGGCCUAAAUGCCCUAAGACCUGCAGCAGCAGAAUUUGGGCCCAGGGCCCAAAUUUGAUGUUUCCUCCCCUUCUUAUUUAUUUAUCAUGAUAGUUGACUAAUUAUUUUAUGUGAUUUUGGUUUAAUUUAAUUAUUCUCCUAUGAUAGACAUUCCUCUUAUUUAUACAUAUAUUUAUUUAUAUACAAAUAAUUUUACCUGGUUUUUGUUCUACUUCUUGGUCUUUGUCAACCCUUAAGUUCAUCCCUUUAGGUCAUCCCCUGAGCUAUGAAAAAGAGAUAAUUAAUUUAGAUGAUAAUGUUAAAUUAGAGAAAAUAAAAAUAAUAUAUACAUGUGUAAAAAAUUAUUUUUACAAGUCACUUAGCUUUUAUUCUAUUUUUGGUCGUAUUAACCCUUUAUGUCACCCCCCCUUAUAAAUGAUUUUCCCUUUUUCCUGAAAAAAAGUUUAGUUCAAUAGUAGUAAAUAAAAAAGUAAUAAAUAAAGUCUCC